AAAAUAGCAAGAACACUCAACAUACACACAAAUACAAAUACCAGAAAAGUAAUAAGAGUGAGAUGAGAGAAUGCAAACAGUGAUUAAGAAGAUGACACCAAAACUUUGAUCUCGGAGUUCGCCCAAAACAACCGGCUACUUCUCCGUCAAGCCCUCAGCUUGAUUCCACUAAUCAUCAAACAAAGGAGGAGCUCACAUGGAGAUGACAACUCUUAGCCAAAAGGCUCUCAUUUUCUCUGUUGUUGAAUCUAUUGUUCUCUCUGGCUGUGACUAUUUACUUUUGUUGUAUCUCUUAUUUUGCUCUGUAUGUUAUUGCUUGUUGUAUCUGAGAAAAGCACCUCCUUUAUAUACUGUUCUGUGAUCUGAUCUAGGGCAGAGCCCUAGUGAUAUUUGUAACUGUUUUUAUAACUGCUUCAGUUGUAACUGUCUUUGUAACUGU